CCUGCCAUGCUUAGUAGCGGCGAGUGAGCGGCAAAGCUCAAAUUUGAAAUCUGGCUCUUUCAGAGUCCGAGUUGUAAUUUGAAGAAGGUAUCUUUGGGUCUGGCUCUUGUCUAUGUUUCUUGGAACAGAACGUCACAGAGGGUGAGAAUCCCGUGCGAUGAGAUGAUCCAGGCCUAUGUAAAGUUCCUUCGAAGAGUCGAGUUGUUUGGGAAUGCAGCUCUAAGUGGGUGGUAAAUUCCAUCUAAAGCUAAAUAUUGGCGAGAGACCGAUAGCGAACAAGUACAGUGAUGGAAAGAUGAAAAGAACUUUGAAAAGAGAGUGAAAAAGUACGUGAAAUUGUUGAAAGGGAAGGGCUUGAGAUCAGACUUGGUAUUUUGUAUGUUACUUCUUCGGGGGUGGCCUCUACAGUUUAUCGGGCCAGCAUCAGUUUGGGCGGUAGGAGAAUUGCGUUGGAAUGUGGCACGGCUUCGGUUGUGUGUUAUAGCCUUCGUCGAUACUGCCAGCCUAGACUGAGGACUGCGGUUUAUACCUAGGAUGUUGGCAUAAUGAUCUUAAGUCGCCCGUCUUGAAC
rnacentral:rRNA from 1 species